GACGAACGCUGGCGGCGUGCUUAACACAUGCAAGUCGAACGAUGACGACCGAGCUUGCUCGGUCUGAUUAGUGGCGAACGGGUGAGUAACACGUGAGCAACCUGCCCUUCACUCUGGGAUAACCUCGGGAAAUCGGGGCUAAUACCGGAUAUGAGCUCCUGUCGCAUGGCGGGUGUUGGAAAGUUUUUCGGUGAAGGAUGGGCUCGCGGCCUAUCAGUUUGUUGGUGAGGUAGUGGCUCACCAAGGCGAUGACGGGUAGCCGGCCUGAGAGGGCGACCGGCCACACUGGGACUGAGACACGGCCCGGACUCCUACGGGAGGCAGCAGUGGGGAAUAUUGCACAAUGGGCGAAAGCCUGAUGCAGCGACGCCGCGUGAGGGAUGACGGCCUUCGGGUUGUAAACCUCUUUCAGCAGGGAAGAAGCGAAAGUGACGGUACCUGCAGAAGAAGCGCCGGCUAACUACGUG
rnacentral:rRNA from 1 species